rnacentral:lncRNA from 1 species
CUCCCUUAAAAACAACCAACAAUCCAAGAUUAAAUAACAAAAAGAUUCAGACAACGAUGCUUGGCUUUCCGUGCGUAGACUACGUGUUUCUUGAUUAACUUUCAUGAAGUAUCGUGAAAAACAGUUUGGAAAGUAAAAGAUAUUAAACACUUGUAGGACUAAAACCAAAAGUUGAGAAACGAAGUGAUAAAAUCGGAGGUAGUUUGCACUUAGUCUGAGAGCGACUAAAUUAUUCUAUGUCUAGGAAUCUUAUACUUAAAAUCU